AUUAGUCUUUUAAUUGGAGGCUUGUAUGAAUGGUUGGACAAAAAGCAAGCUGUCUCAAUUAUAAUAAUUGAAUUUAACUUUUAAGUGAGAAGGCUUAAAUAAACUAAGGGGACGAUAAGACCCUAUAAAGCUUGACAAUAAAUCGUUUAUAUUAUAAACUGUUAGUAUAACUUGAUUUUAAACGGUGUUUGUUGCGUUGGGGCGACGGGAAUAUAAAAGGUAACUGUUCUUAUAAGAUUUAAUAACAGAAAUAUCUGGAAAAUUAAUGAUCCUUUUUUAAAGAUCAUAAGAUUAAGUUACUUUAGGGAUAACAGCGUAAUCUUCUUUGAGAGUCCAUAUCGACAGGAAGGGUUGCGACCUCGAUGUUGAAUUAAGGUAUCCUUAUAAUGCAGCAGUUAUAAAGGAAGGUCUGUUCGACCUUUAAAUC
rnacentral:rRNA from 1 species